UAUAGUAGAAACCAGUUAAUUUCAACUGGCUGACCAGCUAAAGACCAGUUCUUUUCAACUGGUUGAACCUAUGGAGUGCCAUGUACAAGUUUUGUGAAAUCGGCAAGUGAAAGUGGUAAAAAUUUUGUAACAUUUUUUUUAAAUCAUAAAACACCUUACUACAGUACUGCUGCACACUUUUCUUGCCACUUGACAUCUUUAUCAUGCGAGCAGCUGUCGCAGUUUAUUCAUAAAAGAACACAGUAAGAAAGCGGCUGAGCAAGCAUUGGUUUACUAUUAACAACCCUUCCAAAAACGCUGCAUUUGAAGCAAUAAAGUAAGGUCAAAUAAACUUUAGGAAUUAAUUUGUCAUUACAAAAUUUUGUAUUGUUUUUUGACCAAAGCAAUAGUCAUGUAAUAUAUACUUUCAUAAAGUACAUGCGCUCACAGUGCAAGCGCGGUGGCAAGUGCCAUCAGCAUCGUCAUCAGCAGCGCACCACCACAGCGAACACAAGUCAUAAGCUUUACUUGCGUGCUUUAUAUCCAGCGUCUUUGCAAUAAUCAUGUUGGCAUGAUCCAUUAAAUCCGCCUCAUUUAUUCAAAAUCAAGGCGAGUAUUUUGUGUUUGAACCACCUUAACUGCUGUAUUACUAGCACCUUUUGAACAUUUUGUUUGUUACCCUAACUAGUGUUAGCUCGCGACUGCAGCGGACACGGUGCACAGGCGCAGCAGGCAUGAAGUGUGGGAGCUACUAUACGCGCACAGCCUCCCUGCAUGAUUCCCGAUGCAACUCGGAAGAAAAACAACUGAGCACCAGCGACCUCCUUUCCAGAAGCUGCAGCAGAACAGGCGGCAUUUUGACUACAAAUGCCCUCACUAGCAGAAAUUGGGAGAUUUACUACAAAGCUCACUCUGCAUGAGACAUUUUCGCAGAACUAUUGUUGUCUAAUGAAGGCUCUUUGUGUUGAGCACCAGUUUGCCUUAAA